rnacentral:rRNA from 1 species
GUGUGUCGUCAUGUGAACUGCAGGACACAUGAGCAUCGACAUUUUGAACGCAAAUGGCGG